AGCAGCAGCGCGACGCAGCUCCCGGCAAGUUGUUUCCGAGCGUCGGUGAGUGAUUACAUCACGCCAUCGCUGGGCCGGCCCGCCGACAACAAGGGAGCCUGGCGGGAGUGUCGAGGACCAGGAUCGCGAGAGUCACCCGCUAGCGGUGCCGCCACGGCCACGACGAAGCAGCGUCGGCGACGGCAACUUCUCUACCUCCCUCGCAUCUGUGGCUUCGUUCAGCAGCAUGGUUUCGCUGCUGGAGGAGAACUCGACGACCAACUUCAGCGCGAACACGUACAACAGCCUCCACCGGCGCUGGAUGCGUUGCCAGGCAACCAGCCUCGAGUUCGGACUCGCGCUGAAGAAAGACAGCGAUGCGAACAGUCCAGAGGGACAUGCGGAGCCUCACACGCGCUCCAAGCUCGGCAUCGCCAUCCUCAUCAGCCUCCGCGACGACAACGACAACGACAGCAGCAGCAGCGGCGG